rnacentral:rRNA from 1 species
GACGAACGCUGGCGGCGUGCUUAACACAUGCAAGUCGAACGGAAAGGCCCUGCUUUUGUGGGGUGCUCGAGUGGCGAACGGGUGAGUAACACGUGAGUAACCUGCCCUUGACUUUGGGAUAACUUCAGGAAACUGGGGCUAAUACCGGAUAGGAGCUCCUGCUGCAUGGUGGGGGUUGGAAAGUUUCGGCGGUUGGGGAUGGACUCGCGGCUUAUCAGCUUGUUGGUGGGGUAGUGGCUUACCAAGGCUUUGACGGGUAGCCGGCCUGAGAGGGUGACCGGCCACAUUGGGACUGAGGUACGGCCCAGACUCCUACGGGAGGCAGCAGUGGGGAAUAUUGCACAAUGGGCGGAAGCCUGAUGCAGCAACGCCGCGUGCGGGAUCACGGCCUUCGGGUUGUAAACCGCUUUCGCCUGUGACGAAGCGUGAGUGACGGUAAUGGGUAAAGAAGCACCGGCUAACUACGUG